rnacentral:rRNA from 1 species
UACGUAGGGUGCAAGCGUUAAUCGGAAUUACUGGGCGUAAAGCGUGCGCAAGCGGUUUUGUAAGUCUGUCGUGAAAGCCCCGGGCUCAACCUGGGAAUUGCGAUGGAGACUGCAAGGCUUGAAUCUGGCAGAGGGGGGUAGAAUUCCACGUGUAGCAGUGAAAUGCGUAGAGAUGUGGAGGAACACCGAUGGCGAAGGCAGCCCCCUGGGUCAAGAUUGACGCUCAUGCACGAAAGCGUGGGGAGCAAACAGG